GACGGAGGGUGCUAGCGUUGUUCGGAAUGACUGGGUGUAAAGGGCGCGUAGGCGGCUCGUGAAGUCGGGUGUGAAAGCCCGGGGCUCAACCCCGGAACGGCAUCCGAUACUGGCGGGCUUGAGACCGGGAGAGGAGGGUGGAAUACCCAGUGUAGAGGUGAAAUUCGUAGAUAUUGGGUGGAACACCGGUGGCGAAAGCGGCUCUCUGGCCCGGAUCUGACGCUGAGGCGCGAAAGCGUGGGGAGCAAACAGG
rnacentral:rRNA from 1 species